rnacentral:rRNA from 1 species
GAUGAACGCUGGCGGCGUGCCUAAUACAUGCAAGUCGAGCGAACAGAUAAGGAGCUUGCUCCUUUGACGUUAGCGGCGGACGGGUGAGUAACACGUGGGUAACCUACCUAUAAGACUGGGAUAACUUCGGGAAACCGGAGCUAAUACCGGAUAACAUUUGGAACCGCAUGGUUCUAAAGUGAAAGAUGGUUUUGCUAUCACUUAUAGAUGGACCCGCGCCGUAUUAGCUAGUUGGUAAGGUAACGGCUUACCAAGGCAACGAUACGUAGCCGACCUGAGAGGGUGAUCGGCCACACUGGAACUGAGACACGGUCCAGACUCCUACGGGAGGCAGCAGUAGGGAAUCUUCCGCAAUGGGCGAAAGCCUGACGGAGCAACGCCGCGUGAGUGAUGAAGGGUUUCGGCUCGUAAAACUCUGUUAUUAGGGAAGAACAAACGUGUAAGUAACUGUGCACGUCUUGACGGUACCUAAGCAGAAAGCCACGGCUAACUACGG